GGUUAAAUGACCUGUGUUGGGGGUUGAGUGCUCGGUGUAGUAUGAAGAGGUAGGAGUGUUGGUUGGAUGACCUGUCUUGGGGGUUGUGUGUUCGGUGUAGUAUAGAGAGGUAGUAAUGGGGGUUGGAUGACCUGUGUUGGGGGCUGUGUGCUCUUUGUAGUAUGAAGAGGUAGUAGUCUCGGUUGGAUGACCUGUGUUGGGAGUUGUGUGCUCGGUGUAGUAUAGAGAGGCAGUAGUGUCGGUUGGAUGACCUGUGUUGGGGUUGUGUGCUUGGUGUAGUAUAGAGAGGUAGUAGUGUCGGUUGGAUGACUUGUGUUGGUGGUUGUGUGUUCAGUGUAGUAUAGAGAUGUAGUAGUCUUGGUUGAAUGACCUUUGCUGGGUGUUGUGUGCUCGGUGUAGUAUAGAGAGGUAGUAGUGUCGGUUGGAUGACCUCUGUUGGGGUUGUGUGCUCGGUGUAUUAUGGAGAGGUAGUAGAGUUGGUUGGAUGAUCUGUGUUGGGGUUUUGUACUCGGUGUAGUAUGGAGAGGUAGUAGUGUCGGUUAAAUGACCUGUGUUGGGGUUGUGUGCUCGCUGUAGUAUGGAGAGGUAGUAUUGUCGGUUGGAUGACCUGUGUUGGGGGUUGUGUGCUUGGUGUAGUAUGGAGAGGUAGUAGUAUUGGUUAAAUGACCUGUGUCGGGGUUGUGUGCUCACUGUAGUAUGGAGAGGUAGUAGUGUUGGUUAGAUGACCUGUUUUGAGGGUUGCGUGCUCUUUGUAGUAACAAUCAUCGUCUGGUGGACCCAUGGUGGCGAUAUUUGUGAAUGUUCUGUAAUAGCUUUUUUAGGACGGGAAGGAUGAAGACAAACAGAGGAGAUGUUGGAUGGUAGUUAUAGGGCGGUAAUCAUUGUGCAGUAGGUGUCGGACAAUAGGUGUAGGGCUGUAGUUAUAGAAAGGUAGGUAUAUGGCUGUAGUUGUAGUAAGGUAGGUGUAGGACUGUUGUUGUUGGAAAGUAGGAGUAGGGCGGUAGGUGUAGGAUGGUAGCUGUAAGAAGGUAGGUGUUGGGGGGUAGUUGUAGUAAGAUAGGUAUAGGAUGGUAGUUGUAGGAACGUAGGUGAAGGGUGGUAGUUGUAGUAAGGUAGGUGUAGGGCAAUAGUUGUAGGAAGGUAGGUGUAGGAUGGUAGUUGUUGGAAAGUAGGUGUAGGGUGGUAGUAUUAGGAAGGUAGGUGUAGGGCUGUAGUUGUAGGAGGUAGGUGUAGGAUGGCAGUUGAUGGAAAGUAGGUGUAGGGCUGUAGUUGUAGGAGGUAGGUGUAGGGUGGCAGUUGAUGGAAAGUAGGUGUAGGGCUGUAGUUGUAGGAGGUAGGUGUAGGGUGGCAGUUGAUGGAAAGUAGGUGUAGGGCUGUAGUUGUAGGAAGGUAGGUGUAGGGCUUUAGUUGUAGGAAAGUAGGUGUAGGAUGGUUGUUGAUGGAAAGUAGGUGUAGGGAAGUAGUGGUAGAAAGGUAGGUGUAGGGUGGUAGUAUUAGGAAGGUAGGUGUAGGGUGCUAGUUUUAGGAAAGUAGGUGUAGGGCUGUAAUUGUAUAAAGGUAGGUGUUGGGCGGUAGUAUUAGGAAUUACCCCAAUGUGUUAAGGUACAGCUCACCGGACCAACGUCUCAUGUAAUCCAAACAAGAAGUGAACAAAGUCCUGCACAGUCUCGAUGCAAUAGGUUUCUUUUUAUUCAGCUUACCUGUGGUAUGACUAAGGCCUAAUGACUGUAGCCGAAACGCGUCACCUGUUCUCUAUGUUGGCUGAUUGCUGAAUAAAAAGUAACGUAUUGCAUAGAGACUGCGCUGGACUUUGUUCGCUUAUUGUUUGUAUUAGGAAGGUAGGUCUAGGGCUGUAGUUGUAGGAAGGUAAGUGUAGGACAGUAGUUGUGAGCAGGAAAGUGUGGGGUGGUAGUUGUAGGAAGGUAGGAGUAGGUCUGUAGUUGUAGGAAGGUAGGUUUAAGCGGUAGUAUUAGGAAGGUAGGUGUAGGGUGGUAGUUGUAGGAAAGUAGGUGUAGGGUGGUAGUUGUAGGAAGGUAGGUUUAGGGUGGUAGUUGUAGGAAGGUAGGUUUAAGCUGUAGUAUUAGGAAGGUAGGUGUAGGGUGGUAGUUGUAGGAAAGUAGGUGUAGGGUGUUAGUUGUAGGAAGGUAGGUGUAGGGUGGUAGUAUUAGGAAGGUAGGUGUAGGGUGGUAGUUGUAGGAAAGUAGGUGUAGGGUGUUAGUUGUAGGAAGGUAGGUUUAGGGUGUUAGUUGUAGGAAGGUAGGUUUAGGCGGUAGUAUUAGGAAGGUAGGUGUAGGGUGGUAGUUGUAGGAAGGUAGGUUUCAGCGUUAGUAUUAGGAAGGUAGGUGUAGGGUGGUAGUUGUAGGAAAGUAGGUGUAGGGUGUUAGUUGUAGGAAGGUAGGUGUAGGGUGGUAGUUGUAGGAAGGUAGGUUUAAGCGGUAGUAUUAGGAAGGUAGGUGUAGGGUGGUAGUUGUAGGAAAGUAGGUGUAGGGUGUUAGUUGUAGGAAGGUAGGUGUAGGGUGGUAGUUGUAGGAAGGUAGGUUUAAGCGGUAGUAAUAGGAAGGUAGGUGUAGGGUGGUAGUUGUAGGAAGGUAGGUUUAAGCGGUAGUAUUAGGAAGGUAGGUGUAGGGUGGUAGUUGUAGGAAGGUAGGUUUAAGCGGUAGUAUUAGGAAGGUAGGUGUAGGGUGGUAGUUGUAGGAAGGUAGGUUUAAGCGGUAGUAUUAGGAAGGUAGGUGUAGGGUGGUAGUUGUAGGAAAGUAGGUGUAGGGUGUUAGUUGUAGGAAGUUAGGUGUAGGGUGGUAGUUGUAGCAAAGAAGGUGUAGGGUGUUAGUUGUAGGAAGGUAGGUGUAGGGCAGUAGUUGUAUCUUAGUACUUGUGUGUUUGAAGGUCCAUGGUGUUUUGAGGAUUUGAUGGUGGGUGUAGUGGGGCAGAUAAGGUGUCAGCUGUGUUUGGCGGUAGGACAGUGUGCAGGGGGUUGUGCUGGAAGUAUAAGGUUCGGCAACUGUUGUGGUGAUGGACUUGCUGGGUUUAGUGAAGAUGUCUUGUAGUCUGAGUAUGGGUGACGAGUAGUUGGCGGACCAUUACUCUUGUUGCUUGGUGUGAGGGGCGGGGACAUAUAUCUUGUGCUGUUUUAACCUCUGUCCAUUACUCUUGCUGCUUGGUGUGAGGGGCGGAGACUUAUAUCUUGUGCUGUUGUAACCUCUGUCCAUUACUCUUGUUGCUUGGUGUGGGGGCGGAGACUUAUAUCUUGUGCUGUUGUAACCUCUGUCCAUUACUCUUGUUGCUUGGUGUAGGGGCGGGGACAUAUAUCUUGUGCUGUUUUCGUCUGUGUCCAUUACUCUUGUUGCUUGGUGUGGGGGCGGGGACAUAUAUCUUGUGCUGUUUUUGCCUCUGUCCUUUACUCUUGUUGCUUGGUGUGGGGGCGGGGACAUAUAUCUUGUGCUGUUUUCGUCUGUGUCAAAUACUCUUGUUGCUUGGUGUGGGGGCGGGGACAUAUAUAUAUCGUGCUGUUUUCGUCUGUGUCCAUUACUCUUGUUGCUUGGUGUGGGGGCAGGGACAUAUAUCUCGUGCUGUUUUUGCCUCUGUCCUUUACUCUUGUUGCUUGGUGUGGGGGCGGGGACAUAUAUCUUGUGCUGUUUUCGUCUGUGUCAAUUACUCUUGUUGCUUGGUGUGGGGGCGGGGACAUAUAUCUUGUGCUGUUUUGGUCUGUGUCCAUUACUCUUGUUGCUUGGUGUGGGGGCGGGGACAUAUAUCUUGUGCUGUAUUUGCCUCUGUCCAUUACUCUUGUUGCUUGGUGUGGGAGCAGGGAUAUAUAUCUUGUGCUGUUUUCCUCUGUGUCCAUUACUCUUGUUGCUUGGUGUGGGGGCGGGGACAUAUAUCUUGUGCUGUAUUUGUCUCUGUCCAUUACUCUUGUUGCUUAGUGUGGG